AGUAGGUUUGUCUGUGAAAAUGAAAAAAAAAAGGGCAAAAAAAAAAUAUUCGCUAUUUUCAAGGCAUAAGUUUUGUGUUUAAAAGAAAGAAAAUUACAAAAAGAAUAGGUUUCUUUUAAUCUAGUUUUUCUAAGUUAAUUCUAUCUUUUUUAUUUUUCGUUAGUCUAUUUAUUUAUUUAAUUUUUUUUUCUUUCUCUUAGUUUUGGUUUAAAAAUAGUUGAUUAAUAUAUUUAUUUUGGUAUUUUAUAUGUCCUUCUAAUGGAAAAGAAAAAUAAAAAAUGGAACCAAUGAUGGCCCGCCACUUGGCAAAAUUUCAAAUUAUCCACACAAAAAAGGCACAAUCCAUUUUGGAAAGGGAAUAUUCCCUUCAACCUUCAAGAUAUUUUUAUUCAUGUGGGCAUUUUGGGAAAAAAAAAAUGAAUAACACACUCAAAACCCUAGCCUAAACACUAUAUAAAUAUUUAAUUAUAUACCCUAGAAAAGGCUCAGCCGUCACUUCCAUAACAAAAAAAACUAAUACCCUACAGACAAUAUUCAGCCGCCAUUUUUCCAUCCUACAUUGACACUAGACAUCAGCCGCACCUAUCAAAAAAAAAUGAUAACAACAGCAGCAAAUAUUUUUCUCCUUUUCAUCAAAGCACAAUACUAAAACAACCUUCUUCAUUACCAAACACCACCACGGACAACAACCAUAAGCUCACCCAAAACCCCCCAUAAACCAGCUUGAAAGGUUUCCGGUCGUCGGCUCUGGUAGAUGUCAAAUCUCAUCGAGGAUAUUUGAAUUUCUCUAUUUUCAUAAUACGCAGCAGAGUUGUAACAACAUUCAGCAAUAAAGGUACAAACUACAGAUUUGCUGACCCACCUGCCUAGGACACCUAUUCUGCUAUUCUGGAGCGCUCUUUUGUCCAGAGCCUAUACUCUGGUACAGUCUGCUGCUGUUGUAUAUAUGUACGCUAUUCAGGGGUACGACGGGGCCCUGUCCCGUCUUAUGAUUCUGUUAUGUUCUGUAGAGGUCUGUAGACAUACAUGUGGGUUCUGUAUAUGUUUUGGGUUGCUAUGAUUUGUGAUAGCCUUAUCGGCUUCCAUGUGCUAUAUAUGUUCCUCUGUGACACUAGUAACGUCGACUGACUUUUAUAUUUAUAUAAUCAA